ACCUGACUCCUACGCUGAGCCUCUCCAACUUUGCAGAAAGCGCCCAGUGUAUGCUUUAAACGUGUGAGAAGACUCACUGGCUCUCUUCCCUACGCACCAUUUAAAGACACAUUUUUCAGUUCAAAGAGUUUACGUUUUCAGACACUGAGAAAUUUUAAAUCUGCUUAAGUCUAUGUUAUGCCCAUUAUAAAGCAUCCAGUCUCAUUCUACAAAGAAUUCAAGAAGGCAAGACAUACAUGCAAUAAAAUAACAAAAUGUGAAUAAACAUAAAGCACUUGGAGGAAGGAAAAUAGACUUUUAUCAAGAGAGACAGAGCAUGAAUGGGGGAGGGGCAAAGAGAGAGG